rnacentral:lncRNA from 1 species
UCAACCCCUAAUUCUCCCUACUUCUUCAAUCUUCCUCUCUCUUAGCUUGGUUCGCGAUGGUAGCAGAUGAAGAUGCACUCACGGUGGUUCAUGUUGGUUCGGUUUUCACUCCCGGUGGCUUAAGGUGGUUCGGUUCUCGCUUCCGGUGGCUAAUGAUGGUUCGGUUUUCACUCCCGGUGGUGGUUCGGUUCUCACUGUGGUCAUUAGAGUAAGGUAGGGAUUCGGUUGUCCUCUUUGGCUAAUUAUUUCCGAAAGGGUUAUGACUGAUUCGGGUGGAAAUACAUAGAUUAAAACCAAUUUCGUUCAUGCUCUAUUUUAUAUUCUAGCCUGUUAUACUUAUGUGAGUUUCUGCGAAAUGGCCGAUUAAAUCGGUUUAUAAUUUAUUCCUAUAAUUUCGAUGCAUAAAUCACCUAAAAUAAGACAUGUUAUGAUACCUAUUUUCGUUUGGAUGAUUACCUGAGUAUAUGCUUCCUGUCGUAUGAUACGGGUUGUGCCACUUUAUAAUGCUUGUGAAACGUAAGUCUAUUUUGGAUCGAGUUUGCUUGAAUGUAUGAAGGCUGCUCCCUGUUUACGACUGUGUGAUGUAUCUCUGCCUCUCUAUUUCUCUGAUGGUUGUUGUAUAUGGAAUAUCUCUGCUUGUGUUGUAUGUUUCCUUUUUUGCUGAAUGACGUAUAUGAUAAAAUGCUCUCAGUUUUUUUUACUUGCUAUCUUUUUUCUCUGCCCCCUCUGAUUUUUAUAUAGCUCUCUGAUUUAUUACGCGUAUGAUAUAUGUGUUGUAAUCUCUGCCUCUGUUGCAAUGUAUAUGUGUCUGUAAUCUCUGUUCUCUUUUUAUCACUGUUGCCAUGUAUGCUCUGAUAGAACUGUGUAUAUGGCUAUUUUCUUUGGCCUUUCCAAUUUGGAAUAUGUUCUAUGAUUUGGUUGGUGUUGUUCUGGAAAUGAGUUUGGUAAAGAUGAGAACCUAUGCCUGGCCACCAAGGCUUCUAGCCAUAUCAAAAAAGUUACAUAAACCCCAUUCUGGCAAGUGUUUGUGCACACGGCUAAAAUUCCACUUCCCAUCAUAACAAUCUUUAAGAGGGUGCUACUCUUGUUAAUGAUGGUAAGGAAUAAAUUAUUAUUUUUUCCUACAUCGGGUCAUGGAAUGAGGAUUUUUGGAUUAUUGGUUACCAAACAGGGCAAAGGGGAUAAAGGUGGAUGAGAUAGUUUUAUAUGCUAGGAUAAUAUCAGUAUGAGAUUGGAGAAGAGAUAUGUAUAUGUGAAGGUGUUGUUGUGUUGCACCUUUGAGGGGAGAUUUGGGUUUUUUCUCUUCUCUCUCUCAUAUCAGUGACGUGACUAAUAAAGAGGAGAAGCUGAGAUUAGAAGGAUGUGUUGUGAAGCAAUAUUAUGGAGGAGGUAACAUAAAAAACAAGAGAAUAUGAAAUGUGUAUAUCCCCCUAUAACUGUAUAUGAUAGCUUGUUCUCUCCCCCCUGGUUUAUGGUGGUGUGGAACCCUAUUUAUAGCUGAGUAUGGGUUAGUGAAAACCUUUUGAUUUCAGUAACAUACUAUGACCUUUUACUUCCCUCUGAUUAUUCCCUUUUUACUCAUUGUUAUUGCCAUUCAUGAGGAUACUUUAAUAAAGCAUAACUGAAUAACCUCUGGAUGCCUUACUGCCCUUUUGAGAUUCUUGGCUGGUAUACUUAGUCUCACUGUGAUCCUUGGCUGGUAUACUUAGUCUCACUGUGAUCCUUGGCUGAUUCAUUUUAUUUCCUCUUGAUGUUGUUUUAUAAUAUAACAGUUUGCAAAGAAAAUAUCUAGGUUGCCUAAUCUUUUGGUCUAUGUUUUGUCAGGUUCUCAUUUCCCGUUCUAAGAAGCGAAGCAGAUUAGAUCCCCACAUGCAAGAGGCCUCUUGCUUGGUAGAAUAUCACUCCUAGUUUCAAAGGGGACUAUCUUGAAAGCUUUUGUUGAAUAGAUUGUAUGAUGCCUCCAGUCUAUUUGAUUAAGACUCUUGAGCAUUUGGCCUACACUGCUAUGCAUGCUGAAUGUCUGAUGGUUUCCUAUGGCAGAUUCCUUCUCUUUUUAGUUUUUUAGCACGUGAUGUUUGAAUUGCCUUUUGAAGCAAAGAUCUCAAGCUCUUGCAUGAUUACAAAAUAUCUCAAAAAACCAGAAACAUAUUGAGGACAAUUAGGUACAAAUCAUAAAGCAAUAUUGUGAAUAUUAGAAUAUAUGAGUACACACACAUCAUAAGCAUUAUCGAAGAAUCUAAGGCAACAUCAAAAGCAUUAUUUUAGAGUUGAUCGACUAUUUAAGAAUUGUCUGAAGAAUGACUUGAUUUGUUAUUUGUUAAUGACAAACAUCAAUUUUCGUAUGUAUGAUUAAAUAGUAUGGGAACUCUGUUUGGUAUAAAAAUACCUGGAGUUCUGAAUUUUAUUAUUGUCAUGGUAACUGAUCCUCAAAACAAAA